rnacentral:rRNA from 1 species
GGGCAGGGUGAGUCGACCCCUAAGGCGAGGCCGAAAGGCGUAGUCGAUGGGAAACAGGUUAAUAUUCCUGUACUUGGUGUUACUGCGAAGGGGGGACGGAGAAGGCUAUGUUAGCCGGGCGACGGUUGUCCCGGUUUAAGCAUGUAGGCGGAGGUUCCAGGUAAAUCCGGUACCUUUUUAACGCUGAGGUGUGAUGACGAGGCACUACGGUGCUGAAGUAACAAAUGCCCUGCUUCCAGGAAAAGCCUCUAAGCAUCAGGUAACAUUGAAUCGUACCCCAAACCGACACAGGUGGUCAGGUAGAGAAUACCAAGGCGCUUGAGAGAACUCGGGUGAAGGAACUAGGCAAAAUGGUGCCGUAACUUCGGGAGAAGGCACGCUGAUAUGUAGGUGAAGCCCCUGCGGGUGGAGCUGAAAUCAGUCGAAGAUACCAGCUGGCUGCAACUGUUUAUUAAAAACACAGCACUGUGCAAACACGAAAGUGGACGUAUACGGUGUGACGCCUGCCCGGUGCCGGAAGGUUAAUUGAUGGGGUUAUCCGUAAGGAGAAGCUCUUGAUCGAAGCCCCGGUAAACGGCGGCCGUAACUAUAACGGUCCUAAGGUAGCGAAAUUCCUUGUCGGGUAAGUUCCGACCUGCACGAAUGGCGUAAUGAUGGCCAGGCUGUCUCCACCCGAGACUCAGUGAAAUUGAACUCGCUGUGAAGAUGCAGUGUACCCGCGGCAAGACGGAAAGACCCCGUGAACCUUUACUAUAGCUUGACACUGAACAUUGAGCCUUGAUGUGUAGGAUAGGUGGGAGGCUUUGAAGCGUGGACGCCAGUCUGCGUGGAGCCAACCUUGAAAUACCACCCUUUAAUGUUUGAUGUUCUAACGUUGGCCCCUUAUCGGGGUUGCGGACAGUGUCUGGUGGGUAGUUUGACUGGGGCGGUCUCCUCCCAAAGAGUAACGGAGGAGCACGAAGGUUAGCUAAUCCUGGUCGGACAUCAGGAGGUUAGUGCAAUGGCAUAAGCUAGCUUGACUGCGAGCGUGACGGCGCGAGCAGGUGCGAAAGCAGGUCAUAGUGAUCCGGUGGUUCUGAAUGGAAGGGCCAUCGCUCAACGGAUAAAAGGUACUCCGGGGAUAACAGGCUGAUACCGCCCAAGAGUUCAUAUCGACGGCGGUGUUUGGCACCUCGAUGUCGGCUCAUCACAUCCUGGGGCUGAAGUAGGUCCCAAGGGUAUGGCUGUUCGCCAUUUAAAGUGGUACGCGAGCUGGGUUUAGAACGUCGUGAGACAGUUCGGUCCCUAUCUGCCGUGGGCGCUGGAGAAUUGAGGGGGGCUGCUCCUAGUACGAGAGGACCGGAGUGGACGCAUCACUGGUGUUCGGGUUGUCAUGCCAAUGGCAUUGCCCGGUAGCUAAAUGCGGAAGAGAUAAGUGCUGAAAGCAUCUAAGCACGAAACUUGCCCCGAGAUGAGUUCUCCCUGACUCCUUGAGAGUCCUGAAGGAACGUUAAAGACGAUGACGUUGAUAGGUCGGGUGUGUAAGCGUAGCGAUACGUUGAGCUAACCGAUACUAAUGAACCGUGAGGCUUAACCUU